AGAGUUUGAUCAUGGCUCAGGAUGAACGCUAGCGGCAGGCCUAAUACAUGCAAGUCGGACGGUAGAUUACUUUCGGGUAGUUGAGAGUGGCGAACGGGUGCGUAACGCGUAUGCAACCUACCCUAUACAGGGGGAUAGCCCGGAGAAAUCUGGAUUAAUACCCCAUGGCACUGCGGAGAGGCAUUUCUUUGCAGUUAAAGAUUCAUCGGUAUAGGAUGGGCAUGCGUCUGAUUAGCUAGUUGGCGGUGUAACGGACCACCAAGGCGACGAUCAGUAGGGGUUCUGAGAGGAAGGUCCCCCACACUGGCACUGAGAUACGGGCCAGACUCCUACGGGAGGCAGCAGUAGGGAAUAUUGGGCAAUGGACGAGAGUCUGACCCAGCCAUGCCGCGUGCAGGAAGACGGCGUUCUGCGUUGUAAACUGCUUUUAUCUGGGAAGAAAAAGCCCCUGCGGGGGACAUUGCCGGUACCAGAUGAAUAAGCACCGGCUAACUCCGUGCCAGCAGCCGCGGUAAUACGGAGGGUGCAAGCGUUGUCCGGAUUUAUUGGGUUUAAAGGGUGCGUAGGCGGCUGUUUAAGUCAGUGGUGAAAGACCCCGGCUCAACCGGGGCAGUGCCAUUGAUACUGGACAGCUUGAGUAUUGGAGGGGUACAUGGAAUUGACGGUGUAGCGGUGAAAUGCAUAGAUACCGUCAGGAACACCGAUAGCGAAGGCAUUGUACUGGCCAAUAACUGACGCUGAUGCACGAAAGCAUGGGUAGCGAACAGGAUUAGAUACCCUGGUAGUCCAUGCCGUAAACGAUGAUUACUCGCUGUUAUGGCUAUAUGUUGUAGCGGCCAAGCGAAAGCGUUAAGUAAUCCACCUGGGGAGUACGCCCGCAAGGGUGAAACUCAAAUGAAUUGACGG
rnacentral:rRNA from 1 species